UUUGCUAAAGAUGAUGGCUGGCGGAGAUGCUUUUAUCAUGUAGGUUGUGAAAGACUUUAUCUUUACGUGAUCAAAAGAAAAUGAAAAAGAAUUGUUAGAAAAUCAAAAAGAAAUCAAGGCAAAGAAAGAGAUUCCUUUGGUUCACACUUCACACACAGACAGAGAGGAAUUUUUGCCUUUAUUCAUGUUCGCACUUCACAGUUCACGCCUUUUCUCUCAUUCUCUUUUAUCUUAUGAUUCCUUCUUUCUCCCCAAGUUGAUCUCCUGUGUUAAGAAAUGGCUUAAAAUUGGUAGUGGAUUGUUGUUGUUGGUAGUGGGUUGUUGGUGGUAGUGGAUUAGUGGAUGGUUGUUGGUGUCCAUUUUCAACCACAAAUCUUUGCCAAAGUUUUGGACAAUUAUGUCCUUGAACUCUCUUAUAAAUAGAGAGGUUCAUUAGCCAUAUUCAUCAUCCCAAACCAAGAGAGAGCAAAGCUUGUUCUUUGAAAGCUAGGAUUUUAGCUUUCGGGUUUUCUAUAGGGGUUGAGAGUUGUGAGGUUCUCGGGUUGUGUCUUGAGUGUAAAACACUUGUAAUCUUCAUCUUGUUAUAGUGAAAUUUCUUUUCGCCUCUGCCCGUGGACGUAGGCAUUAAAGCCGAACCACGUAAAUCCUUGUGUUCACUUUAUUUUUCGUUCCGGUCAAUUUACUUGUAGUCAUAUCGGAGUUCUCGAAUCGAUCCUUUCCGCAACAAAUUGGUAUCAGAGCGUAGUUGAAGGAGUGAUAAUAUUUUCUGAAUUGCCCUGUGACUGCAGCUUUGUCUGAUCUUUCACAUCAGGAAGAAAAUAUUAUCAUUCAUUCAAAGGUUCCAAAUUAUGGCUACAAGUGUUUCAUCGACUAAGUAUGAUGUCGAGAAAUUUACCGGGAAAAAUAGUUUCAGUUUAUGGCGCAUCAAGAUGCGGGCAGUGCUGGUUCAACAAGGAUUGCUAAAAGCAUUGUCUGGUAAAGAUAAAUUACCAAGCACGCUUUCGGAAGAGCAAAAGGAUGACAUGCUAGAAAGAGCACAUAGUGCUAUUCUGCUAUGUCUAGGAGAUGAAGUGCUACGAGAAGUAGCGGAUGAGAAAACCGCGUCCGGUUUGUGGCUCCGGUUAGAGAGCAAGUACAUGACGAAGUCAUUGACGAACCGGCUCUACCUCAAGCAAAGACUCUAUGCCCUGAAGAUGGAGGAAGGUACACCUGUUUCCCAGCACCUGGAUAAAUUCAAUUCCAUUAUCAUGGAUUUGAAUAAUAUCGAUAACAAAAUCGAUGAUGAGGACCAAGCAAUAAUUGUUUUGUGUUCUUUGCCUCCCUCGUAUGAGAAUUUUGUUGAUACAAUGAUGUACGGUCGUGAUGACCUGACUCUAGAGGAGGUGAAAAAUGCCUUAAGUUCCAGUGAGUUGAGGAAGAAAAUCACUGGUAAGGUGGUCGAAAACAAUGAAGGCGAAGGCUUGGUUGCUCGAGGAAGAUCCAAGGCAAAGGGUGGAAGUUCAAGUAAAAGCCAUCCUAGAUCGCAGUCCAAGAAGAGAAUACAGUGCUACUACUGUAAGAAGUACGGGCACAUGAAGGUAGAUUGUCCGAAAAGGAAGGAGAAAUCAGAAUCACAGGAGCAACAAAAUGAUCGUGCGAAUGUAGCUGAUGCAGAUUCUUCAAGUGAUGCCGAGAUCGUUCUUGCAGUAUCCGACUCUUACGCUGGUGGGAGAUGGAUUCUUGAUACGGGAGCUACAUUUCAUAUAAGUACUUCGAAAGAUGCAUUCUCAACAUACGAGAAGCAUUCUGGUUCAGUACUAAUGGGAAAUGACCACGCAUGUCAAGUCAUGGGGAUUGGCACAGUUCGUAUAAAGAUGUUUGACGGUAUUGUUAGAACUCUAACUGAUGUUCGGCACAUUCCAGAAAUGAAGAAAAAUUUGAUCUCUUUGAGUACGUUGGACAAGAAAGGCUUUCGGUACUCUGCUGAAGGUGGAGUUCUCAAGGUAUUCUCGGGUGCUUUGACUGUGAUACGUGGUAAUUUGGAGCGGGGCCUUUACUUCCUCGAUGGUUCCUCGGUUACAGGUGUUGCGGGAGUGUCAUCAUCAGAUGAUCUAGAUUCUGACACCACGAAGUUAUGGCAUAUGCGGCUCGGGCAUAUGAGCGAGAGAGGCUUAUCGGUGCUAAGCAAACGAGGAUUAUUGUCUGGGCAGUGUACAGGAAAGUUGAAUUUCUGUGAGCACUGCGUCUUCGGUAAGCAGACUCGGGUAAAGUUCAGCACUGGGAUUCACAAGACAAAAGGCACAGUGGAUUACUUCCAUUCUGACCUUUGGGGGCCUUCUCCGACAAUUUCUAAAGGUGGUUACAGAUAUCUGCUUACCUUUAUCGAUGAUUACUCGAGAAAGGUUUGGGUGUAUUUUCUGAAGAGCAAGUAUGAGGUUCUCAUCAACUUCAAGCAAUUUAAAGCUUUGAUCGAAAAUCAAACAGGAAAGAAGAUCAAGCGAUUCCGGACGGAUAAUGGCUUGGAGUUUUGCUCAGGUGAAUUCAAUGAGUUCUGCAAAAAUGAAGGAAUAGUGAGACACCGCACUGUUCGUCGAACACCACAACAAAAUGGAGUUGCAGAACGCAUGAAUAGAACUCUCUUGGAGCGAGCUCGUUGCAUGCGAUCAAAUGCUGGGCUCGGUGAAGAAUUUUGGGCUGAAGCUGUUAAUACUGCUUGUUAUUUGGUUAACAGAUCUCCGUCAACAGCUAUUGAGCUGAAGACUCCUGAGGAAGUAUGGUCUGGUUCUCCUGCUGAUUACUCUGGUUUAAGAGUGUUUGGCUGCCCUGCGUAUGCUCAUGUAAAUGAGGGAAAACUCAAACCGAGGGCGAAGAAAUGCAUAUUUCUUGGAUACGGCCAAGGGGUGAAAGGAUACAGGUUGUGGUGUCCUGAUCCGGUUUCGUCCAAGUUCAUCAUCAGCAGAGAUGUGACUUUUGAUGAGUCAUCCAUGCUUCGAUCCACCACAAAUUCCCGGGAAAAGGAGGAGUCAGAUAGAAUGGGAGAUCACGGUGUUGAGAAGCAGGUGGAGUGUCAGGUGGACGCUCCAAUUCCUACGGAAGGUACUUCAGUCCAGGAUGAUCAAGUUGAGGUGCAAGAUUCCGAUGAAGAUGAGUCACCUCAAGAAAAACCAUAUAGCAUUGCCACUGGAAGAACGAAGAGACAAAUCAAACCAAAUCCGCGUUACGCUAAUCUGGUGUCUUUCGCGCUCAGUGUGGCGGAGUCCAUUGGUAUAGAACCUUCCAGUUAUAAUGAGGCUGUCACGUGUGAUGAGUCGGCACAGUGGGCAAUUGCUAUGAGUGAGGAGAUAGAAUCUCUUCACAAGAACCAUACUUGGGAGUUGGUUAAGCCGCCAAGUAACCAGAAGAUAGUUGGUUGCAAAUGGGUCUUCAAGAAAAAGGAAGGCAUCCUAGGGGUUGAAGCAACUAGAUUCAAGGCACGAUUGGUUGCUAAAGGCUUCACUCAGAAAGAGGGGAUUGACUACAAUGAAGUUUUCUCCCCAGUCGUAAAGCAUUCUUCCAUUCGUGUAUUACUUGCCAUGGUGGCCAAGUCUGAUCUAGAACUUGAGCAGCUUGACGUAAAAACGGCGUUCUUGCAUGGUGAGCUCGAGGAAACAAUCUACAUGCGUCAACCAGAGGGUUUUACAGUUCCUGGUAAAGAAGACCAUGUCUGUCUAUUAAAGAAGUCUUUAUAUGGAUUGAAACAAUCCCCAAGGCAGUGGUACAAGCGGUUUGAUAGCUUCAUGAUUCAGCAUGGUUACACAAGAUGUGACUAUGAUGCUUGUGUCUAUCAUCGGAAGCUCUCAGAUGGUUCGCACAUUUAUUUGUUGCUGUAUGUUGAUGACAUGUUAAUUGCUUCCAAAAACAUGUCGGAAAUCAACAAGUUAAAGUCGCAGUUGAGUGGUGAGUUCGAGAUGAAGGAUCUGGGUGCUGCCAAGAAAAUUUUGGGCAUGGAUAUUCACAGAGAUCGCAAGGCGGGCAAGCUUCGUGUGUCGCAGAAGAACUACAUUGAAAAGGUUCUUCAACGCUUCGGCAUGGAUAAAGCGAAAACUGUGAGUACUCCGUUGGCACCACAUUUCAAACUCUCUGCAGAGUUGUCACCACAAUCUGAUGAAGAAAAGCAGCAAAUGUCUCACAUUCCAUACUCGAGUGCAGUUGGAAGCGUGAUGUAUGCAAUGGUUUGCACUCGUCCAGACAUUUCACAUGCAGUUAGUGUGGUCAGCAGAUACAUGAGUUGUCCUGGCAAGGAACACUGGCAGGCCGUGAAAUGGAUUCUCAGGUACUUGAGAGGUUCUGCAGAUUUAUGCUUGGUAUAUGAUCAGAGUGACUGCACUAGCAGUGUCACGGGCUAUGCGGACUCUGAUUAUGCUGGAGAUCUGGACAAAAGAAGAUCUCUGACGGGUUAUGUUUUCACUUAUUCUGGAGGAGCCAUUAGUUGGAAAGCUGUGUUACAGUCUACCGUAGCCUUAUCUACGACUGAGGCGGAAUAUAUGGCGUUAGCAGAAGCAGUGAAAGAAGCAUUGUGGAUGAAAGGUCUAGUAAGCAGUUUGGGUUUACAACAGGAUUUCACUGUUGUAUUUUGCGAUAGCCAGAGUGCCAUACAUCUGACUAAAAAUCAGAUGUUUCAUGAACGGACCAAACACAUUGAUGUCAGAUAUCAUUUUGUUCGGGAACAUGUUACGCAAGGUGACAUUGUUAUCAGCAAGGUUGCUACCGAGAAGAAUCCUGCAGAUAUGUUAACUAAGGUGAUCCCUGCAUAUAAGUUCAAGCAUUGCUUGGACUUGAUAGGUAUUCGGGAUUGAUUAGCGCCAGAGAGGCGUUUGGAAGAGGUGAUCCAGUUCACUAUGAUGUUCAGCUUGGUAAAUUUCAAGCCAAGGUGGAGAUUUGUUAAGAAAUGGCUUAAAAUUGGUAGUGGAUUGUUGUUGUUGGUAGUGGGUUGUUGGUGGUAGUGGAUUAGUGGAUGGUUGUUGGUGUCCAUUUUCAACCACAAAUCUUUGCCAAAGUUUUGGACAAUUAUGUCCUUGAACUCUCUUAUAAAUAGAGAGGUUCAUUAGCCAUAUUCAUCAUCCCAAACCAAGAGAGAGCAAAGCUUGUUCUUUGAAAGCUAGGAUUUUAGCUUUCGGGUUUUCUAUAGGGGUUGAGAGUUGUGAGGUUCUCGGGUUGUGUCUUGAGUGUAAAACACUUGUAAUCUUCAUCUUGUUAUAGUGAAAUUUCUUUUCGCCUCUGCCCGUGGACGUAGGCAUUAAAGCCGAACCACGUAAAUCCUUGUGUUCACUUUAUUUUUCGUUCCGGUCAAUUUACUUGUAGUCAUAUCGGAGUUCUCGAAUCGAUCCUUUCCGCAACAUCCUGUCAUAGGAUAGGUGCACAAUAAGAACGCACCACCUUAGGCCUUAAGGCUUAACCUCAUCCCCCAUUCAGUACUUAAUUGCAUUCUUCUGGCGUUUCCCUUUUAUGCAAUGACACUUUCUUUAUAUAUUGAGAAAAUAGUUCUUUCACUGUUAAUGCUUAUCUUCUUGUAACUCCCUUUUUCUUUCUUCUUCUUUUUCACUGUCAUUCCAGUGCAGUUUCUCACCACCUUUCUGGUUUUCAGAUUCUUUUGUUUUAACUUCUGUUGCUGGUUUUCAAAGAUUUUCUAUUAGGAGUAGUUUUUUUAGCUUGAGGCUUAGAGAAAGUUUUGGUUUUUAAGGAAGGCCUAAACUAAGAAGAAGGAAGAGAAAAAAUGGCAGGAGGAGGGGG
rnacentral:lncRNA from 1 species